CCCGACGUCACUCCGUCUCGCCCUGCCCCGGCGGGGGGUCAGGAUCCUCCACAGUUCCUGAUGAAUAUCUGUUAUCGCUGAAGUUUCUCUUUGGCUCAUCAGCCACCCAGGCCUUGGACCUAGUUGAUCGACAGUCCAUCACCUUAAUCUCAUCACCCAGUGGAAGGCGUGUUUACCAGGUCCUUGGAAGUUCCGGUAAAACAUACACAUGUUUGGCUUCUUGUCAUUACUGUUCAUGUCCUGCAUUUGCCUUCUCAGUGCUACGGAAGAGUGACAGCAUCCUGUGCAAGCAUCUCUUGGCAGUUUACCUGAGUCAGGUUAUGAGGACCUGUCAGCAGCUAAGUGUCUCUGACAAGCAGUUGACUGACAUAUUAUUGAUGGAGAAGAAACAAGAAGCAUAAAAGGACUGCAGGAGGUGCUGUGGGUUGGAGCCGUGGGCUGUGGAGGGUUUGUGUAUGAUGAGAAGCCCUGUACAGUCUUCUCAAGAAAAACCCUGAGCCAGUCUCUGAGACGCUUCGAUGGAGUCUCACUUUGUCGCCCAGGCUGAGGUGCAGUGGCGUGAUCUCAGCUCACUGCAAGCUCCGCCUCCCAGGUUCACGCCAUUCUCCUGCCUCAGCCUCCCAAGUAGCUGGGACUACAGGGCAAUUGAAGGAACAGACUAAAAAUCGUGUCCUGGAAGGAAACUACAGGUACUACCAGGGAUUUUCAGUCUGAAGAAGAA
rnacentral:sRNA from 1 species